rnacentral:rRNA from 1 species
AAUGAACGCUGGCGGCAGGCCUAACACAUGCAAGUCGAGCGAGCGGCGGACGGGUGAGUAAUGUAUGGGGACUGCCCGAUAGAGGGGGAUAACUACUGGAAACGGUAGCUAAUACAGCAUACUAUCGGAUAACCCAUAUGGGAUUAGCUAGUAGGUGAGGUAAUGGCUACCCUAGGCGAAGAUCCCUAGCUGGGCGGAGAGGAUGAUCAGCCACACUUGGACUGAGACACGGCCCAGAUUCCGACGGAGGCAGCAGUGGGGAAUAGUGCACAAUGGGCGAAAGCCUGAUGCAGCCAUGCCGCGUGUAUGAAGAAGGCCCUAGGGGUGUAAAGUACUUUCAGUCGGGAGGCGUUACCGACAGAAGAAGCACCGGCUAACUCCGUGCCAGCAGCCGCGGUAAUAC